CUUGGUCAUUUAGAGGAAGUAAAAGUCGUAACAAGGUCUCCGUUGGUGAACCAGCGGAGGGAUCAUUACCGAGUUUACAACUCCCAAACCCUUAUGUGAACCGUACCUAUCGUUGCUUCGGCGGGAACGCCCCGGCGCCCUGCGCCCGGAUCCAGGCGCCCGCCGGAGACCCCAAACUCUUGUGUUUUUUUCAGUAUUCUCUGAGUGGCAAACGCAAAAAUAAAUCAAAACUUUUAACAACGGAUCUCUUGGCUCUGGCAUCGAUGAAGAACGCAGCGAAAUGCGAUAAGUAAUGUGAAUUGCAGAAUUCAGUGAAUCAUCGAAUCUUUGAACGCACAUCGCGCCCGUUAGCAUUCUAGCGGGCACGCCUGUCCGAGCGUCAUUUCAACCCUCAGGGUCCCCGUUCCGGCGGGGAACCUGGUGUUGAAAAUCGGCCCGCCCCGCGCGGCGCCGUCCCCCAAAUUCAGUGGGCGGUCUCGCUGCAGCCUCCCCUUGCGUAGUAGUUACAACCUCGCAUCGGAGCUCAGCGCGGCCACGCCGUAAAACCCCCGACUUUUCUGAACGUUGACCUCGGAUCAGAGUAGGAAUACCCGCUGAACUUAAGCAUAUCAAUAAGCGGAGGA
rnacentral:rRNA from 1 species